rnacentral:rRNA from 1 species
GACGAACGCUGGCGGCGUGCCUAAUACAUGCAAGUAGAACGCUGAAGAGAGGAGCUUGCUCUUCUUGGAUGAGUUGCGAACGGGUGAGUAACGCGUAGGUAACCUGCCUUGUAGCGGGGGAUAACUAUUGGAAACGAUAGCUAAUACCGCAUAACAAUGGAUGACACAUGUCAUUUAUUUGAAAGGGGCAAUUGUUCCACUACAAGAUGGACCUGCGUUGUAUUAGCUAGUAGGUGAGGUAAUGGCUCACCUAGGCGACGAUACAUAGCCGACCUGAGAGGGUGAUCGGCCACACGGGGACUGAGACACGGCCCAGACUCCUACGGGAGGCAGCAGUAGGGAAUCUUCGGCAAUGGGGGCAACCCUGACCGAGCAACGCCGCGUGAGUGAAGAAGGUUUUCGGAUCGUAAAGCUCUGUUGUAAGUCAAGAACGGGUGUGAGAGUGGAAAGUUCACACUGUGACGGUAGCUUACCAGAAAGGGACGGCUAACUACGUG